rnacentral:rRNA from 1 species
GACGAACGCUGGCGGCGUGCUUAACACAUGCAAGUCGAACGGAAAGGCCCUGCUUUUGUGGGGUGCUCGAGUGGCGAACGGGUGAGUAACACGUGAGUAACCUGCCCUUGACUUUGGGAUAACUUCAGGAAACUGGGGCUAAUACCGUAUAGGAGCUCCUGCUGCAUGGUGGGGGUUGGAAAGUUUCGGCGGUUGGGGAUGGACUCGCGGCUUAUCAGCUUGUUGGUGGGGUAGUGGCUUACCAAGGCUUUGACGGGUAGCCGGCCUGAGAGGGUGACCGGCCACAUUGGGACUGGGAUACGGACCAGACUCCUACGGGAGGCAGCAGUGGGGAAUAUUGCACAAUGGGCGGAAGCCUGAUGCAGCAACGCCGCGUGCGGGAUGACGGCCUUCGGGUUGUAAACCGCUUUCGCCUGUGACGAAGCGUGAGUGACGGUAAUGGGUAAAGAAGCACCGGCUAACUACGUG